UACGGGGGGGCAAGCGUUGUUCGGAAUUACUGGGCGUAAAGGGCGCGUAGGCGGUUCGCUAAGUUGAAUGUGAAAACUCUGGGCUUAACCCAGAGCCUGCAUUCAAUACUGGCGGGCUAGAGUUCUGGAGGGGAUAGCGGAAUUCCUGGUGUAGCGGUGAAAUGCGUAGAUAUCAGGAGGAACACCAGUGGCGAAGGCGACUCUUUGGCCUGUAACUGACACUGAGGCGCGAAAGCGUGGGGAGCAAACAGG
rnacentral:rRNA from 1 species